rnacentral:misc_RNA from 1 species
AAAAAUAAAAAAAUAAAAAAAAAAAAAAACUCUGGAAUUACCUCACUCAUGAGAACUAUAACCGUUAACACCCAUUUCCACUAUAGCUAACCUCUCCUUAGCCACAUUCUCCUCUUCUCUAAUCUCAUCCUCAUCAGAAUCCAAAGUGAAGUGUCCGUUGUUCUCCAUCUGCUGCAUCUCUGUCCUAAGAGGCUUGUACUGCAUAAAAUUUCUAUCAUCCCCAUUCUUUCUAGCCAUAAUGGAGUACACACUCGUCACCAAAACCACAAGCAAAGCAAGAUGGCAAUUGAACUGAAGUGUAGCGAUCCCUCUGGCCCUAUGAUACUCGGAGUGCCCUUUACAUUUUAUAGUGUAAUCCCCUCUGCUCUUUUUAUGCAAAGAGCAACCAUGAACGAUCAUAUUACUGUAAAAAGAAAUACCCAUUUGCACAAACCACAUGCCUUGCAAAAUCAACCCAACCCCACGGACCAUUCUUGCAUAAUUAUUCGAUUUCGAGGAAGACUUUAACUCCAGAAUGGUAGAAACCACACAAAUCGUGAUUGGAACAAGCAAUAGAUCAAAAUACCUGUUCUCAAUCCCACUUGUGUCCUUCCUUUGCAGAUAAUACAACAAGAACUCUUCCACAAACGCGAACAGAAGGAUCAAAUCAAGAAGCGGCAAAGGGAAACGAACAGAAGUUGAAAAAUUCGAUACCAGACCUAAAAUUGAGUACAGGGAAAAGAGUGCGGCAACAGCAAGAACUUGCAACUGAAGGGCGGAGCCAAUUCCAUCUUGUGAAUUGGCGGCAUUGAAAAGUGAGAUUAGAGAAUCAAUAAUGAAUAGAAAAGAGAAGACAGUGAUGGCUAUGUAAAUAAACGAAGAAGAUUGAUAUUUCGGGUCUGUGUUCUUUUGGGUCGUAGAUUUUGAUAUUCGAUCAAUCCCAGAAGACGAAAUUGAAUUUGGCUUUGAGUCUAGGCUCAAAUCUGCAAAGGAGGUGAGAGAUUCCCAUGC